GACGGGGGGUGCAAGCGUUGUUCGGAAUCAUUGGGCGUAAAGCGUGUGCAGGUGGCUCAGCAAGUCAGAUGUGAAAGCCCCGGGCUUAACCCGGGAAGUGCAUUUGAAACUGCUGAGCUUGAGUAUGGAAGAGGAUCGUGGAAUUCCAGGUGUAGUGGUGAAAUACGUAGAUAUCUGGAGGAACACCGGUGGCGAAGGCGGCGAUCUGGUCCAAUACUGACACUCAUACACGAAAGCGUGGGGAUCAAACAGG
rnacentral:rRNA from 1 species